rnacentral:rRNA from 1 species
CAGUCGCCGCGGUAAUACGAAGGGUGCAAGCGUUAAUCGGAAUUACUGGGCGUAAAGCGCGCGUAGGUGGUUCAUUAAGUUGGAUGUGAAAUCCCCGGGCUCAACCUGGGAACUGCAUCCAAAACUGGCAGGCUAGAGUAGGGCAGAGGGUGGUGGAAUUUCCUGUGUAGCGGUGAAAUGCGUAGAUAUAGGAAGGAACACCAGUGGCGAAGGCGACCACCUGGGCUCAUACUGACACUGAGGUGCGAAAGCGUGGGGAGCAAACAGGAUUAGAUACCCCCGUAGUCCCUGUCUCUUAUAA